rnacentral:rRNA from 1 species
CGGAAUCACUGGGUUUAAAGGGUGCGCAGGCGGAAUAGUAAGUCAGAGGUGAAAGCCCACAGCUCAACUGUGGAAUUGCCUUUGAUACUGGUUAUUCUUGAGUGUAGUUGAAGUAGGCGGAAUAUAGCAUGUACCGGUGAAAUGCAUAGAUAUGCUAUAGAACACCAAUUGCGAAGGCAGCUUGCUAAACUAUAACUGACGCUGAGGCACGAAAGCGUGGGGAGCGAACAGGAUUAGAUACCCUGGUAGUCCACGCCGUAAACUAUGAACACUCGCUGUUGGCAAUACACAGUCAGCGGCUGAGCGAAAGCGUUAAGUGUUCCACCUGGGAAGUACGAUCGCAAGGUUGAAACUCAAAGGAAUUGACGGGGGCCCGCACAAGCGGAGGAGCAUGUGGUUUAAUUCGAUGAUACGCGAGGAACCUUACCUGGGCUUAAAUGUAUAUUGACGUACUGAGAAAUCAGUAUUUCUUCGGACAAUUUACAAGGUGCUGCAUGGUUGUCGUCAGCUCGUGCCGUGAGGUGUCGGGUUAAGUCCCAUAACGAGCGCAACCCCUACUUCUAGUUACCAGCAUUUCGGAUGGGGACUCUAGAGGAACUGCCUACGCAAGUAGAGAGGAAGGUGGGGAUGACGUCAAAUCAGCACGGCCCUUAUGUCCAGGGCUACACACGUGCUACAAUGGCCGGUACAGAGGGCAGCUACAUAGCAAUAUGAUGCUAAUCUCAAAAGCCGGUCUCAGUCCGGAUUGGAGUCUGCAACUCGACUCCAUGAAGCUGGAUUCGCUAGUAAUCGCACAUCAGCAAUGGUGCGGUGAAUACGUUCCCGGGCAUUGUACACACCGCCCGUCAAGCCAUGGAAGUUGGGGGUACCUGAAGUCGAUUGCCGUAAGGCGUUGCACUAGGGUAAAACC